UGAAAGAAGAGGUAGUGUGUGGAGGUUGUGGAAUUGCUGCCAGGUGGCCCUUUGGCUCAGGAGGAUUCUGAAAGCUGUGCAAAUCGUUAGAGAACACUUCAGGAACCCCAUACUACAGUGUUCUGCUGACUAUAUUCCAGCUUUAAGAAAGCCUGGGUAAGAGGCCUUUACCUUAGAGCUGAACCUUUAUCUGCACAAAAGAACUUGGAUUCUUUCUGGAAGUGGACAGGGGAGUUAAUAAGACAGAAAAAUGGGAAAGGUCCGCCUAGUUUUGUGUUAGUUCCGAGAAUCUAGGGGUAGAACCACUUAGUUAUUUCAGGAUCCUUUGGAAACAUCGUUCUAGAGAGAGCUGGAUUUUAGAAGCAAUACUGAAUAACCUUUCCACAUUUGGAAAUUGUUAAAAACAGGCAUACAUUUAAGUUUCAAAAGGUCGAUAUUACAAUUGACAAAAUAAUGUGCUUAAAGCUUUUAGCCAAACCUAUAGAGCAAACAAAUGGCAAGUCAGAUCUAAAGCCUUUCUAAACCAAUAGAACAAAUAUCUACUUCUCAAUUAGAUACACAGAAAUGUCCUAAAUCUGUCAUUUUCUGAGGGUCAGGCACUGUACUAAAAUUCCAAAAGGUAGGCAGUUUUCCGUGUAACAGAAGAGAAGGCAGAUUCAAGUGGUUAAGUAAUUUGGGAAGCUCCUUGAGCUAGUUAGUGGUAGAGCUGGGGUUUUAACCUUGGUAUCUGAUUUGAGCUGUGUUGCUAAGCAUUUGGCCUGUCAGCCCCUGCCACCUGAGAAUUUCUGACAUGACCAUAUAUGGACAAGAAGGCCUACAGCAUUGAAUAUACCCAGCCUGGGAUUCUCACAGAGGCACUGAGGGAAAGUAGUCUUCCCCAGCAGUACCUAUCCCUAAGUCUGGAGCUUGAUGACAUCUGCAUUUUACAACCCAGCCUCUUAAUACAAACUGCCUUCUUAAAGGGAAAUAGGCCUUUUGUUUGUUCUUCCUAAGCUAACCUACAAAAUUGAAAUAGUUAUUUUAAAAUUUUCUGUUCAUUAAAUUAAUGCAUUGUUAAGUUUUGGAAAAAAGGAAAAGAAAAUACUCUUUACUCUACAACCAAGUAUAAGAACUACUUACUUUUUUGGUAUACUGUGUAGUCUUGGAUAUACUUCAUACAUAAAUUGUGUCUGUGCUUUCAGCCAUAGUCAUUGUCGUCUAUAAUAAUCUUCCCCAUUCUUUCUCAUGGGCAAAUCUUUUUCACGUGAUUUGUGAAAUCUUCCUUGAUUCCCGGCCCCCCUCCCCACCCUGGCCGUAUCCUUAUAGCGUUCACGUUGUGUUAUAAUCAUUUACUUAUUUGUCUUUUAAAUUGAGUUUCUAGGAGCAAGCUAAGGUUCUAGAACUUUUGGAAUAAACCAAGAGAGAGAAGGGACCAGAAUGUCAUAUGCACAGUGUGUGACUUGGGUUUCAUCCAUGGUAAAAUUUCUUUAUAGAGUAGUUGUUUUCUAAAUGUUCUUACUGUGGAGAAUAAAAAGUUGGUAAUUUUAUUUGCUCCCAUUUAGUUUAUUUUUAUUUCUGAAAUUGUUCUUGACCCAUGAAAUUCAAGUCUGGUAUCACUGAGACAGGGAAUGGCCACUGAUUUCAGCAACCAUGAUGUUGGAGUAGUCCUAAUCUACUUGCUUUACUUACUAUAGGUAUUCUCUGUAUUAUUCCUGGAUAUGACUUAGCCUAAGGGUGGAUCUGAGCUUGAUAGUGUUUGAAAAAAUAAGAAAUGGUAAUAAGUAGCAGAUAAUACUAGGGUCAAAAGCAAGCUGUUAGUCAUUUUUGAUGCAAUUUACACAGAUGAAAUGAAGUUUAUUCGUUACUGUAUCACCUAAAAAUAGGUGAAAUUUUGCCAUCCAUAGAGGAUAUGUUUGAAUUAGUUUGACUUAAAAUUAUAGGUUAACAAAAUUCAUUUUGAGGGAUUCUGGGAGGUGGGCACUGUUAACCCCUUGGCAUGUAUCACCAUAUCUCUUUAUGUACAUAUGUCUGUGAUGGUUUUAAAAUAUGGCUCCAACUUCUAUACUCUUCCCAUAAAAAUACAGAAUCUGUAUUCCCUUCCCUUAAAUAUGAGUGGGUGUGGCUGAUUUGACCAAUAGAGUAUAGUGAAAAUGAUCAUAGUCACCAUAUGACUUCAGAGGCUAGGUCGUAAAAGGCUAUGCAACUCCACCUUGUCUGUUGGAACACUUGCUUUUGGAACUCUUGGCCAUCAUGUAAGAAAUCUGACUGCCCGAUGCUGGUGUGCUGUGAAAAGCCCAGCACACAUCAGAAGGCCCCUUGAAGGUAUCCUGAUUGACUGCCACAGCUGAGCCCAGCCCUCCUGGUUAGCCCAGCCCAGGUGCCUGUCAUGUGAGUGGAAAAGCAGAUUCUAACUCCCAGCCAUUUGAAUCAACCAGCAGCAUUUUGAAUCUUCCAAGCUGAGGUGCUAGGCUUAUGGACCAGAGAAAACCAUUGCAGCUCUGUCUUAUCCUAUUUCCUGACCUGAAGAAUCCAUGAACUCAAGAGAAUUAGAAUAUAUGACACAAAUUGGAAGAAAAAUUUAUGAAAGACACAUCUGAGAAAAGACUGUUUCCAAAAUAUACAGAGAACUCUUAAAAUGCAACAACACUGAAAUAAAAACUUGAUUGCAAAAGAAUGGACCAAAAACUUUAAUCAAACUCACCCCAAAAUACAUCCAGAUGUCAAAUAACCAUAUGAAAAGAUACUCUAUAUCACAUGUCAUCAGGAAAAUACAAAUUAAAACAACAAUGACAUACCUCUGUGCCCCUAUUAAAAUGGCCAAAAUCCAGAACUGUCAACACCAAGUGCUGGUGAGGAUUUUGCCAGUGAAUGAACUCUGACACAAUGCUGGUGGGAACGUGAAAUGGUACAGCUAUUUUGGAAGACAGUACAUACUCCAGGAAUCAUACUCCUUACUGUUUACCCAAUGAUAGCUGAAUUCUUAUGUCUGCAAAAAAAUCACUUCUGUACAUGGAUGUUUAUAGCACCUUUAUUCAUAAUUGCAGAAACUUGGAAGCAAGCAAGAUGUUCUUCAGUAGAUAAAGAGGUUAGUAAACCAUGGUAUGUUCAGACCAUGGAAUAUUAUUUAGCACUGAAAGUAAUUGAGUUAUCAAGCAAAGACAACACAUGAAGAAAUCUUAAAUGCUUAUUACUAAGUGAAAGAAGCCAAUCUGCAAAGGCUACAUACUGUAUGAUUCCAACUAUAUGACAUCUUGGAAAAGGCAAAACUAUGGAGACAGUAAAGAGAUCAGUGGUUGCCAGAUGGGAGCAGGGGAAAGCUGAAUAGGCAGAACAGAGGAUUUUUAUGACAGUGAAAUUAUUCUAUAUGAUAUAAUGAUGAAUAUAUGUCAUUAUAAUUUUGUCCAAACCCAGAAUUUACAACACCAAGAGUGAACUCUAAGGUAACCUAUGGACUUUGGAUGACUGUGAUGUGUCAAUGUAGGUUCAUCUUUGAUGAAAAACGUACCCUUCAGGUGAAUGACGAUGAUAAGGGGGGAGGCCGUGCAUGUAUGGGAGUGUAUGGGAACUCACUGUACAUUUCUUUCAGUUUUAUUGUAAGCCUAAAACUACUCUAAGAAAAUAAAGUUAAAAAAAAAUCGAUGAGCAUAAUGAAAUAGUUGUUUAAUCUCAUGGAAUUUAGAGUUGUUUGUUAUGCAGUUGUUCCAAUGAAUUGAUAACUGAAACAUGUCUUUUGUCUAUGUAUGUAUUCU
rnacentral:lncRNA from 1 species